rnacentral:rRNA from 1 species
CGGAGGGUGAGUAAUGUCUGGGAAACUGCCCGAUGGGAGGGGAUAACUACUGGAAACGGUAGCUAAUACCGCAUAACGUCGCAAGACCAAAGAGGGGGACCUUCGGGCCUCUUGCCAUCGGAUGUGCCCAGAUGGGAUUAGCUAGUAGGUGGGGUAACGGCUCACCUAGGCGACGAUCCCUAGCUGGUCUGAGAGGAUGACCAGCCACACUGGAACUGAGACACGGUCCAG